AUGCUGGCCGUCGCGGCGGGGCAAGCGACGCUGGGGGAGCCGUCCUCGUCGGCGGCGGCCGCCGCCGCCGUGCCCAAGCGCCGGGAUCCCACGCCGGAUCACCCACCGUAUUCAUGGAUGAUCGAAGAGGCGAUCCAGGCGCUGGGCGAGGACGGCGGCUCGGCGGAGUCCGCCAUCUCGGGCUUCAUCCGCGACAGGUACCCCGGCGUCCCCGCCGCGCACGACAGGUUCCUCCGCUACUACCUCGCCAAGCACGUCGCCGAGGGCCUCUUCGUCUGCGCCGCGCCUGGGCGGUACUCUUGCUGCUCCGACGACGAGCCCCAGCCCGAGCUCGCACUCACCGAGGUCCUGGCGGCGGCGGCUGCGCCGGCCAAGGCUGGGCCUCCGCCGACAGAGCCCAAGCGCGCCCGCGGUCGGCCCAGGAAGGAUGACUCGCUGGUGGUGGUCAAGCGUGGUCGCGGUCGGCCUAGGAGGGAUGAUUGGCAGGCCGCUGCGGUGGCGGUGAGUGCUGGGCCUCUGAUGACAGGGGCCAAGCGCGGGCCCGGUCCGCCUAAGAAGGAUGGCUCGCCGGCGGCAGGGGCCAAGCGCGGCCGCGGUCGGCCUCGGAAGGAUGGCUUGCCGCCCAAGCCGGCUUCUGGCAAGAAGUUUGUGAGCGGGUCGCCAUCCGCGAUGCCCAAACGCCGUGGCCGGUCUCGCCUUCUGACGGAGGUAGGGGCGGCCGACGUCCCGGGCGAAGCGCUCGUCACGGACAAGAAAGACAACAAUGAGGCUCCAUCCGCCACUGAUAAGAACCAUGGGGAACCUCGCGAGCUGGCACUUGUGAUCGUCAACGACGGCUCUGGUGCAGCAUUAGUCACGGAGGAAGAUGGCGGCGAGGCUCCAGCAGCCAAGCGGCCGCUCUUGGCCAAGGAACCUGCAGCAUUCAGUACGCCAGAGUGCAGCACCCAGCCCUGCAAACUGCCCCUUGUGGCAGCUGACGAAAACUCUGCUCCGGCCCUAGCCUCCGACAAGGAGGGUGACACCGAAGCUCCAUUUGUGAAGCACAAGCGCCGUCGUCGGACCUGCAGAUCAGAGCCGGCAAAAUCCACCUGCGGCUCUGCCUCAACAUCAAUUGCAGACAAGAAGGCUGGUGGCAACGUUGCAUCUGCUCCGCCCAAGGGCCGUGGCUGGUUGCGCAAACCGACAUUGAUGGAUGCCGCCGCGGAUGAAAUUACACCCAAUGAGGCUCGGUCAGCAUUGGUCAAGCCGCGCCGCAAACCUCGCAAACAAUUUCUGCUGAACUUUUAUGACGAGGUACCAAAUAAUCCGAAGUUUUGUGUCCUCGCAUUGCCUGCCCAGGUGCCAGGGGCAACAAAGGCGCCGUAG
rnacentral:rRNA from 1 species